CUGCGCCAUGUUGAGUUGACUCCAGUUCGCAUCGAACGGUUGUGUAAGUUGUGCAUCUUGUGCCACAAAUUUCCAACUUAUUUCCUUAUUUUUAUUUCAACACCGAAUUCACCCUAAACGCUCUCUGCAAAAAUUAAAGUUCGUUUUCGUCCGAAAAAGCAGUGCGUACAAGUGCUAACAUGACCGUGAAAUUAAAUUUAAUUCCUAGUUUUGUGGACAAGGACUCGCAAGCCUCCAACCGCCCCCAGGUCCUCAUUUGAUGAAAAGUCGCAAGCAACCGCAAAAGUGCGUAAGCCAGCCCUAAGGACCAGCACGAGGAUAACGAGUGUCACAAAUAAGCCAACGGCGUUUGAAAUUCCCGCAGCGGCUUAAGCCCCCUUCACACGGUGCCUGUGCGAUCCUGCAGGAGUCGAAUCCCCGAGAACAAUAAAUAAAUGCGCCUGCCGCAGAGGAAGAGGAUCCAGCGACGCAGGAUAACGAGCAGCCGGAAUAAUCAAAAGGCGUUUGAAAUUCCCGCAGCGGCUUAAGCCCCCCUCACACGGCAUAUAUACGUGUGCGACCCUCGAAUAAAUGCGUGUGCCGCAAGGGAGAAGGGUCUAGCAGGGUCUAGCAAGGCAAGGAUAACGAGUGUCGGGAACGUUCGAAAGAGGUUUGAAGUUCCCGCAGCGCCUUAAGCCCCCGUCACACGGCGCGUAUGUGAUAUAGGGGAGAGCGGCAAAGGCGUCGAACUGGUGCAAUAUUUCAUGGCUGUGGUGGGCCCCAGCCGCCACUCGAGGGUGUCCAUGUCUGUAUCCAUGAGUAUGAUGCAGGGUACGGCCGGCCCCACCGCCGGGGGACAGCAAGGGGGGCUGCAUGCGGCGCAGCCCUACUACCAUCCACAGCACGCCGCCGCCCCGGCACACACGCAGGAACAGGUCCAACCGGACAGGCCGAUCGGGUACGGGGCUUUCGGAGUCGUCUGGGCUGUGACGGAUCCUCGUGACGGUAGAAGAGUCGCCCUGAAAAAGUUACCGAAUGUGUUCCAAUCGUUAGUUUCAUCAAAAAGAGUGUUUCGAGAACUGAAAAUGCUAUGCUUUUUCAAACACGAAAACGUUCUGUCCGCCUUAGAUAUCCUCCAACCGCCUCAUUUAGAUUUCUUCCAGGAAAUAUAUGUAAUCACGGAAUUACUUCAAAGUGAUUUACAUAAAAUUAUAGUUUCACAUCAGCCCCUCUCUUCGGAUCACAUCAAAGUUUUUCUAUACCAGAUACUUAGAGGUUUAAAAUAUUUACAUUCGGCUAGGAUAUUACAUAGAGACAUAAAACCUGGAAACCUUUUAGUAAACAGCAAUUGUGUUCUUAAGAUCUGUGAUUUUGGUUUAGCAAGAGUAGAAGAACCCGACUCGUCCAAACACAUGACACAAGAAGUGGUGACGCAGUAUUACCGAGCUCCUGAAAUCCUGAUGGGUGCCAAACACUACACGGCGGCCGUGGACGUCUGGUCCGUCGGAUGCAUAUUCGGGGAACUACUGGGCAGGCGGAUACUGUUCCAGGCCCAGAAUCCCGUCCAACAGCUAGAGUUAAUAACGGAAUUGUUAGGGACGCCGUCGUUAGAUGACAUGAAAUACGCGUGCGAAGGCGCCAAGACGCAUAUGUUAAGGAGGGCGCCGAAGCCGCCGUCGUUAUCCGCUUUUUAUACGUUGAGUUCGCAAGCGACGCACGAAGUCGUGCAUUUAUUGUGUCAGAUGCUUGUUUUUGAUCCGGAUAAACGUAUUUCUGUAAUCGACGCCUUAGCGCAUCCAUAUUUAGACGAAGGGAGACUAAGGUACCACUCUUGCAUGUGUAAAUGCUGCUACACCACGGCCAGCGGAAUGAGGCAAUACACGUCAGAGUUUGAAACAACGGCCCCACAAGCGUUCGAUGACCACUGGGAAAAGAAACUCACGUCUGUACAACAUGUGAAAGAGGAGAUGCAUAAAUUCAUAGCAGAACAACUGAAUACAAGUAGAGUUCCUCUUUGCAUAAACCCCCAAUCUGCGGCGUUCAAGAGUUUCGCCAGGUAAGACGGCCGCCGACGCCGCAGACCAGCGCAGCGCCAUUGCAUAGGUGACCGCUCACAUACCUCUUGGUUAGUUAGAACCCGUUUCAUCCUGUAGAAAUUGAACCUUUCCACCGUAUAUCAAAUGACCUCAUAAUGUUAAUACUGAAAUUUCUUCCUUCUCCACUAAUGAAGCACUCGAGGAGGGACACGAGAUUAAUGCCCAUUCUAAUAUCUAAAAAUGCAGAGAUUCGCUGAAAACCGACAUCGAAACUCGGUAAAAUCUCGUGCUCUGGUGUUUUCCGAAGAAAUCACAAAUAAUAUUGUGAGAUCAAAAGUUUUUAAACACAUGCAUGGAAGUCAUUCGACUGUAGCUCACCCAUCCGAGUUGCCUCCUUCGCCCCAUCAAUGGGAUUGACCAUGGGGUGUUGUCCGUAGAUAACUACUUUCUUCUCUGUCGCAUCUGUUUGUCUAAGUUGUCGAUGAACUUGGGUAAUUUAUAAGUAACAGUACACCAAAUAUAUUCAUUCAGGGAUUCUAUGCAAUGCAAAAUAUGAACAAUGGACAAUCGCGCUGCAACAUAAACGUAGUGUGUGUUUCGUGUAUAUUUAGUCGCUCAGAGUGUGAUUUAUCAUAUACCAUGUAGAUCUGCCAAUUUAGAUACAGUGUACAGAUAUCACUGCCUUGAUUAGUAUAGAUAUUUUAGAGUUUUUAGUUGAAUAAGACUGGCAGGAUUUUGUUUCAGUUGGGCAGUUAAUCAUUUGUCGGGUUUCCAAACAAGACAGAAUCAAAAUGACUUUUUUUUAACUGUCAGUUCGUUUUUACACACCUCCGACAUCGAGUAACUGCCUUUGACAAGCACCAAGUUUUCUCAAAUUUGGUAGGUUAAUAUUAAUUUAAGACUUGUAAGGUAAAGACUGUGAAUAUAGCUACAUAAACCCAGAAAACGAUGUGCAGCUAGCUCUAAGAUUCCUUUAUAGUGAACUUCAUGUUAAAUAAUUGCCAACUUUACAUAUAAAUAGUAUGUACUGUAGUGUAUUCAGUGUGAAUUGUUAAGUGUGCAAUGAGGUAGAGACUGUGAGAUUAGCAGCUCUCAUUUAUUAGACUUUUUUUUACUAAGCAAUUGUAGUGUAAUGAAGUGAAAUUGGUUAUACUGUGGCCUUUACUUUGUGGUGGGCUCAUUUUGGAACUCUUCUUUAUACAACGCUCAAAAAUGUGUGCUAUCAAGUUGAUAGAUUGUUUCUUUUCCUGUAGCACUAACAUUCUCACAAGCCUUCCUACAGGGAAAUUAUAGGCUUUUGUCUUAAUUGUGUUUUUGUAUUUUUAUGUAAAUAUAUUUUUUUAAUGUGAAAGAAACUGACACUAGGACUUAGGUUAGGAUGAUUUUAGUAAAUUUUAUCGUUCGUAAUUUUUCUGUAGGAAAUUAAAUUUUUUAACCGAAUCGUUUUAUUCAAAUUGUAAAUACCACAGACAGUACACAUUUUGUGGCACGCCGCCACUCGCUCUAUUCUUAUUUGACUGCUAUUUUGCAAAUGAUUAAACGACCAAAAAAUCAAUUAUUUGCAAAGUUGGUGAUUUCUUAAUUUGGUACGAUGAUGUAAAUAGUCCCAUGUUUACUCCUUUCGUAGAUUUAGUUAAUUGUAUUCUAAUUCUAGCAAAAAUUUACGAAAAAAAAAAUUAUAAUAUUUUCAUGUAGCGAAUUGGGAGUGACCACAUGUAAAUAUUAUCUGGCGCUUUUCGAGUUCCAUUAGCAUUAUUUAACGAAUUUGUGUAAUUAUUCCAAUGGUUUUUCCAGAGAUCUCAUAACGCGUAUGUAAAUAUAUUUUAUAAAGGCACCUCUCUUGCUCAAUAUUAUUGCGCAAUAAUUUACGCAAUACUGUACCUAACUUAUGUAUUUUUUUUUCACAUGUUUGCCCUUUAACGUUCAAUAUUAUGCAAAAUUCAUAUUGCAUGAGAAUAUUGGGCGUGUAGGGCUGCCUUUAUUCAGACUUUUUUCGAGUAAUGGUCAGUCUAUGUUUACUUUAACUUAGUAUACUCUGAUAUGAAAAAAAUAAACAACACUAUGAACUAA